AACGAACGCUGGCGGCAUGCCUAACACAUGCAAGUCGAACGCGACCUUCGGGUCUAGUGGCGCACGGGUACGUGACGCGUGGGAACCUGCCCUUAGGUACGGAGUCAGUCCCCGGGAGAGAUCCUAAUAACGGGUAAUGUCUUCCCGCAUAAGAUUUAUCGGCUCUUGAUUGGCCCGCGUUGGAUUCACUAGGUUGUAUGGUAAAAGCCUAUCAAGGCGACGAUCCAUAGCUGGUGUGAGCGGAUGACCAGGCACACUGGGAGUGAGACACGGCCCAGACCCCUACGGGAGGCAGCAGGGGGGAACAAGGGACAAUGGGCGAAAGCCUGAGCCAGCCAGGCCGCGUGGGUGAGGAAGGCCUUAGGGUUGUAAAGCUCUGUUACACGGGAUGAUAAUGACAGUACCGGGAGAAUAAGCGCCGGCUAACUCCGUG
rnacentral:rRNA from 1 species